rnacentral:misc_RNA from 1 species
CACACACACACACACACACACAUUCUAUUGGUAUUCUGUUGAGCUUAUACUCAAUGUAUUCAUACAAUUAAAGAGUGACUCAGUGCAUUCACACUUAUGGACUCUGAGGAGGGUUGAUGUAUGGAGCCUUACCUUUGUUUUGUUGAGAGGUUGUUUCAUUUGCUUGAAUCUGUGACCUCCAGGGCACAAGUGGAGUAUCUUUACUAUUACACUGACUCCACCCUCUAUAUUCAUACAAUUAUAAUGAAAUAAAUUAAAUAUACAAAUUGAGUAGCCUUUGAAAAGUCUCAAACAUUCUACCAUUCAACAUUAUCAAGCUAUUGCUAUUAUGUCUUAGGUUUUGAAUGGGUGAAUGACAAAAUAAGGGAAGGGAGAAUAGAAGUUUAAGAGUUGGACGUAGUUGUCUUUUAGGUAUUUUAUGAAGAAUUUUAUCUGAAUUUGAAAAGUUAGUUUCAAUUGUAUCCAUUGGUCAAUAUUGAAAUAAUUUAUUUUUACUAAAUAAAAUAAUUUUUUUAAAUAGUUCUCUCUUCCUCUCCCUUCCCCCUAUUCUCUCUUAUCACAUAGAAUCCUAAUUUAGAAGCAAAAACCUAAUCUCUCUCUCUCUCUCUCU